GUCGUUGUAGUAUAGUGGUGAGUAUACCCGUCUAUCACGCGGAUGACCCGGGUUUGAUCCUCGACAACGACG
rnacentral:tRNA from 1 species